CUAGAAGAUACGGUGAAAAGAGCUGAAGAGAAAAGAGUUAGAAAAAGACAAGACUGUCAGAGUAUUAACGACUUAAUCAUACCAAUAGGAAAUUAUUCUAAUUCUUUUUUGGGGUAUUGUAUUGGCGAAUCACUUCAUCAAUUUAAUGAACUCCGCUGAAAAAAACCCAAAAAACAAUUAGUAGAUUCUUAUAACGGUGUGUACUAGUGAUGGCAAUUCCGGCUCUUUUUAGAAAAUGGGCUCUUUCGGCUCAGUUCACUAAAAGAGUCGGCUCUUUCGACUCCCAAAUGGCUCUUCAGAUUUUUUUGUUCCUUUAAUCGAUAGAUUACAAUUACAGAGGAGUCUGCAGGAUCAUAUCAGAGCGAAAGAUUAUAAAACAUAUAUAUUUUUAUUUUUUGGGGGGGAGAAGGCUAGGUUUUGGAUUUUUUUUCAAAAUUUUAAAUUUUUGGCUCCGCUGCAUAAUUUGCCCAAAUGACAUUCUUCAUCCUACCGAUUUUUUUUUUGAUAAUAAAAAGCUAAAAUUCUUUUAUUUGAAGCGUCUGCCGACAAUCUUAGCCAGUUUCUGAUAGGUAUGGAGCCGGAUCCCGUCGUUCACUUCAAAGGCCCGGCACAUUACGUUUGCAAUCGACAUAUCACUAGUAGGCACAAAGUUGUAUUUUCUCCGUUAAUAGUAUCCUCUUUAUUAGAAGAUACUAUUGGACUAAUUUUUGUAAUCUAAAGUUUAAAUAUAUCUCAUCAAAUAUGAGCUAUCAAUGAUAUGAAUCUAUGUAUUUCGCCGCAUUUGUAUGUAGUUUCAUCCAAUAUAUCCUUUCCCUUCAGUGCUUUAUGGAUCUUGGAUAACACUACUUUACUAUGAAACUUCAUUGACUUGAUGAUGGAAAAGAGAGAGAGAAUUACUUUUUAAAUGUAAAGUUCCAUGAGCUUACCAACAUUUGGAUGAUUCACGAUAUGAAUUGAAGUAUUGCAAGAGAUAAGUAUCAUGGUCAUUUCAGUAUUAAAAUUGAACUUUCCAGAAAUAAAAUUCAUUAUGUGACUUGAA
rnacentral:lncRNA from 1 species